rnacentral:lncRNA from 1 species
AAAGAGUGACAAUAUGUACUAAUUUAACACCUCAACUUUGAACACCUAUAUCUCUUUCACAAAAAAUUGAAAUCACACAAACUCUUCAUUCAAAUUAUAUCCUAAACCCUGAAUUUGUUGAUCCUAGCCUCCAAAGCUCGAAUGUAUCCGAAAGUGAAACCCUAAUCCCUAAUAAGGCCUUAGGUAGCCUCCUUGAAGCCCAUUGGGCGUGACAUUCAACCAAUAGGGAUGAAGGUCUUCACCCCUUGCCUUCAUCCAACCAUACCUUGCUUUCAUCUUUUCCAAUAAGCCUCAUAAUAGUUUUGACUUUCAUCUUUAAACUCCAACCUUCUCUUAAGCUUUAUAUUAAAUAUCUAAAUCUUACAUAAUAUAAAUACUAUAAUAAAAAUAGAUAAAUCUAUAAAUAAAUUUCUUUAUAUUAAUUCUCUUUAGAUUUAUUUAAUAACCACUCUAAUCUAUAUUAAGACUUACAAACAUAUUAUAUGUCUUAAUUAAUUUUUAUAUACUAUAAGUAAUUACAAUACGACACUGUGACAUAGAGCUACACUCCAACAUUGUAAAAACUAUACCUUUAUUGCCAUUUUAUGAUUAAUUUUGUCCAUCUCUAUUCUUGUUUUUAGUCCCAUAUCAUUGUUUUCUUCUCUUGUUUGAUGUUCUUUGUCUUAAAUCUCUCCAUCUAUGUUCUUCAUUUCUUGUUCUUCAUCUCUAUUUUCUUUCCUUGUUUUAUGUUUCACAUCGUUCAUUUCCAUCCUCAUUUUCUUCUUUUAUUU